UGAGUAACGCGUGAGGAACCUGCCUUCCAGAGGGGGACAACAGUUGGAAACGACUGCUAAUACCGCAUGAUACAUUUGGGCCGCAUGGUCUGAAUGUCAAAGAUUUAUCGCCGAAAGAUGGCCUCGCGUCUGAUUAGCUAGUUGGUGGGGUAACGGCCCACCAAGGCGACGAUCAGUAGCCGGACUGAGAGGUUGGCCGGCCACAUUGGGACUGAGAUACGGCCCAGACUCCUACGGGAGGCAGCAG
rnacentral:rRNA from 1 species